rnacentral:rRNA from 1 species
AGCAGCCGCGGUAAUUCCAGCUCCAAUAGCGUAUAUUAAAGUUGUUGCAGUUAAAAAGCUCGUAGUUGAAUUUCGGGGUUCUACCGUUGGUCGGGCUUUGUCUGUACUGGCGUGUAGAAUCUCUACCUUCUGGGGAACUAUUAUGUUAUUAAUUUAGCGUAGUGGGAAACCAGGACCUUUACCUUGAAAAAAUUAGAGUGUUCAAAGCAGGCUUAUGUCUGAAUACAUUAGCAUGGAAUAAUAGAAUAGGACGGUGGUCCUGUUUUGUUGGUUUCUGAAUCACCGUAAUGAUUAAUAGGGAUAGUUGGGGGCAUUAGUAUUCAAUUGUCAGAGGUGAAAUUCUUGGAUUUAUUGAAGACUAACUUCUGCGAAAGCAUUUGCCAAGGAUGUUUUCAUUAAUCAAGAACGAAAGUUAGGGGAUCGAAGACGAUCAGAUACCGUCGUAGUCUUAACCCAUAAACUAUGCCGACUAGGGAUCGGACGAUGUUAAUUUUUCUUGACUCGUUCGGCGCCUUACGGG